AUUGAACGCUGGCGGCAUGCCUUACACAUGCAAGUCGAACGGUAACAGGUCUUCGGAUGCUGACGAGUGGCGAACGGGUGAGUAAUACAUCGGAACGUGCCUAGUAGUGGGGGAUAGCUACUCGAAAGAGUGGCUAAUACCGCAUGAGAUCUACGGAUGAAAGCAGGGGAUCGCAAGACCUUGUGCUACUAGAGCGGCCGAUGGCAGAUUAGGUAGUUGGUGGGAUAAAAGCUUACCAAGCCGACGAUCUGUAGCUGGUCUGAGAGGACGAUCGGCCUAACUGGGACUGAGACACGGCCAAGACUCCUACGGGAGGCAGCAGUGGGGAAUUUUGGACAAUGGGCGCAAGCCUGAGCCAGCAAUGCCGCGUGCAGGAUGAUGGCCUUCGGGUUGUAAACUGCUUUUGUACGGAACGAAAAGCCCUGGGUUAAUACCCUGGGGUCAUGACGGUACCGUAAGAAUAAGCACCGGCUAACUACGUGCCAGCAGCCGCAGUAAGAC
rnacentral:rRNA from 1 species